AGUCAGAAGUCAUUCCCACUGUGACACCUCACCCAGCUGCUUUGGCACCCACUGCCUGAGUAGGCUCGUGGAGCUGGGGAGACAUGGAGAGUGUUGGCAAAUGGCCACCACUCAUGCCUGCCUUCCGUCACAGCCCUGAUGUGCAUGCUCCCAGCCCCAGACGUCUGGCAUAGGUGCUAGAGGAAGAAGUGCUGUCUGGAAGAGAUUCUCUGCCUACAGUUCUAUGGAAAAAUAGCAAUGUGCGAGCUGUUGCUCGUUCAACUCACAGAGGUACUGAAAUGCCCCCAGCUCUGCACCCUAUCUUGGUUUGGUGGUUUCUUCUCUUCCAUGCUGCUCAGCCAACUUUGGAAGCAGUUCAGCAACAUCCGAGGAGGAUGGGAAAGCCAGGACCGUGCAUACAUUUGGAGCAAUUUCCCUUCUAGUCCCAGCAAAGGGAUCUCAUUCAUGGUUUUUAAAAAUCUCUGUGGAAGGAGUGACGGCUCAACCUGAAAGGAACAUAUGUCCUAAUGGAGCCACUACAACACUGCAGAUCCUCCAGAGAAGCUGGCUGGUGAGAUGUGCUCUGGUUUAAUACAGGUAUCUGUUUUUGUGGAAGAUGGGAAGGAACCUGUAGCCCUGGCGGUAAAUGGAAAGACCCGCUCCAACUGUGGGAGACACGUCACCAAGGCAGCGUUAUUUUUUCCUCCACCUCUGAUAUCGAGGUUGGGGCUCCUGAUGGCAUUAGUAACAAGCAGUAAAUAAAGACCGUAACGGAG
rnacentral:lncRNA from 7 species